rnacentral:rRNA from 1 species
GUGCGUAACGCGUAUACAAUCUGCCUUUCACAUAGGGAUAGCCCGAAGAAAUUUGGAUUAAUACCUAAUKGUAUAUARGAGCGGCAUCGUUUUUAUAUUAAAGCUACGGUGGUGAAAGAUGAGUAUGCGUUCUAUUAGCUAGUUGGAGAGGUAACGGCUCCCCAAGGCGACGAUAGAUAGGGGUUCUGAGAGGGAUGUCCCCCACACUGGUACUGAGAUACGGACCAGACUCCUACGGGAGGCAGCAGUGAGGAAUAUUGGACAAKGGUCSGAAGACUGAUCCAGCCAUGCCGCGUGCAGGAUGAAGGUCCUAUGGAUUGUAAACUGCU